rnacentral:tRNA from 1 species
GCGGGAGUGGCGCAAUGGUAGCGCACCUGCCUCCCAUGUAGGUGGUUGCGGGUUCGAAUCCCGUCUCCCGCUCCA